rnacentral:lncRNA from 1 species
AUUUAGCAUUGCCUACAUACAAUCCCUAAAAUGGAAAAACUGAUCAUGCGAUCACCCCAUGAAAAUAGACAUCAGGCGUCACAAAAAAUUCCACAACAAAGAAGUUGAAUACUGAAUUAUUUCAUAUACCGACCGCAUUCAGAUUCAUGUGCAAGUUGAGAGUCACCAACUGAGGAAGACAACUUUAAACCGCAAGAAAAGGUGCAACUAUAGGCCUAGUACUUUCUGCAAAAGAUACAUUAACAAGCAGGUAUGAAUCCAAUCCCUUUGCCGAUUUGUUGUAAGAAGUAGACCGUCGACCGGUCAGUGAGGAGCAACUCCAAACAGCGACAUCAAAGGGGCAAUCACGCAUAAUAUGCACCGUCAAUUCGUGGGCGUUGCCACAUAAAGCACAAGUGGUGUCAAUCGGGACGCACUUCUUGUAAAGGCUCAGCCUUGUGGGGAGAAUAUUUGAACACACCCACCACCAAAAAAUUCUAACUUUAAACAGUACCUCAGCUUGCCAGAGAGCUUUCCAAAGAGAAGACAACGCCGCCGAACUGGAUACAUAGGUGGCAUGAGGAGAGGUGGCGAUAGACCAAGCAACGUGGUAGGCACUCUUGACAGUAAAUUCCCCUUUCUUAUCAUAAUGCCAUAUAAAUUUGAGUAGAAACUCUCUUGGAAGAUUGGGA